rnacentral:rRNA from 1 species
ACCUUCGGGGAACGAUAACGGCGUCGAGCGGCGGACGGGUGAGUAAUGCCUAGGAAAUUGCCCUGAUGUGGGGGAUAACCAUUGGAAACGAUGGCUAAUACCGCAUAAUGCCUACGGGCCAAAGAGGGGGACCUUCGGGCCUCUCGCGUCAGGAUAUGCCUAGGUGGGAUUAGCUAGUUGGUGAGGUAAUGGCUCACCAAGGCGACGAUCCCUAGCUGGUCUGAGAGGAUGAUCAGCCACACUGGAACUGAGACACGGUCCAGACUCCUACGGGAGGCAGCAGUGGGGAAUAUUGCACAAUGGGCGCAAGCCUGAUGCAGCCAUGCCGCGUGUGUGAAGAAGGCCUUCGGGUUGUAAAGCACUUUCAGUCGUGAGGAAGGUGGUGUAGUUAAUAGCUGCAUUACUUGACGUUAGCGACAGAAGAAGCACCGGCUAACUCCGUGCCAGCAGCCGCGGUAAUACGGAGGGUGCGAGCGUUAAUCGGAAUUACUGGGCGUAA